AUCGAACGCUAGCGGGAUGCCUUACACAUGCAAGUCGAACGGCAGCACGGACUUCGGUCUGGUGGCGAGUGGCGAACGGGUGAGUGAUGUAUCGGAACGUGCCCAGUAGCGGGGGAUAACUACUCGAAAGAGUAGCUAAUACCGCAUACGCCCUACGGGGGAAAGGGGGGGAUCGCAAGACCUCUCACUAUUGGAGCGGCCGAUAUCGGAUUAGCUAGUUGGUGGGGUAAAGGCCCACCAAGGCGACGAUCCGUAGCUGGUUUGAGAGGACGACCAGCCACACUGGGACUGAGCCACGGCCCAGACUCCUACGGGAGGCAGCAGUGGGGAAUUUUGGACAAUGGGGGCAACCCUGAUCCAGCCAUCCCGCGUGUGCGAUGAAGGCCUUCGGGUUGUAAAGCACUUUUGGCAGGAAAGAAAUCGCAUGGGUUAAUACCCUGUGUGGAUGACGGUACCUGCAGAAUAAGCACCGGCUAACUACGUGCCAGCAGCCGCCGUAA
rnacentral:rRNA from 1 species